rnacentral:snRNA from 1 species
GUUCUCGCUUGGGCAACACAUACCCUAAAAGUGGAACAAUAUAGAGAAGGUUAGCAUGCCCCCUGCACAAGGACGAAAUGCAAAUUCAUGCAGUGUUCCAUUUUAAA